CAUAAGAUAUUAUGUGAAGCAUUAAAGAAAGAAACGCGUAAUAUCAAGUUUAUGGAUUCCCUAAUCAAGAAUCCAACUACUACGUACCAACAACUAAUGGACAAAACCUAAAAGUACAUCAGACUGGAUGAUGAAGUCUAAGCAUUGAGAGAGGACAAAAGGACGAGUCAAAAGCAAAACUAAAAGCCAAAUAGGCGAGAAUAUGUGGAGACAAGAAAAGGCC
rnacentral:lncRNA from 1 species